ensembl:lncRNA
CAAUCAUCCAUUGUUCCUGUUCGGGGAAGAAAGGAAGGCUGAAGCUGGAGACUCCAAAAAGCUGGACCAGAUUUUUACAAUUUUCCUUUAUCGUGAAGUGCCCACAGAUUAUAAUUCCCUGAGGGUAGGACCCAGCAUCCCAGUUCCUGGGUACCAAGAUGGAGCUGGAGGAAGAUUCAGCCCUCCCUGGCAGCUUCUUCGGCCUGGUGGAAAGGCUGGAGCUUCAGGCAGCGACUUCGAUAUUCACUGAAAUGUUCCAGAUAUACAGCCAUUGACUGGAGACCGUGAAAGCCACCAUUUCUCAUCCAAGUAGUUAAGGUAUUAAGCAGUGGUGGAGAGGAGGGUGAGGAGGGCAACCGAUGGGAGGGUGGAUAAAUAAGUGAUGGCAUAGCCGUGAAGGAAUAUUAUGCAGCCAUUAAAAAUGCAUAUGCAAAGGAUAUUUAAUGGCCUGGAAGAUGCUCACAGUUUAAGAGUAAGUUAAAAAAAAUGAGAACUUAGAAUUUCAUAUUCAGGACAGGCCACGUGUGUUGAAAGAGAACUAGGAAGAAAUGUAUCAAAAGUUUCCUUCUUUAUGCAUGUAUGGAUUUUCCAUCUUCCCUGCAAUUUGCCUUUAUUCAAUGUAGUUUAAAAUCUUUCUUGACGUUAAAACCUUUUUCAAGUACAAAAUAAAACAUUCUCUGUGUAGAAAUAAAUUUGAAUU